rnacentral:rRNA from 1 species
CAGUAGCCGCGGGAAUACGGAGGGGGCUAGCGUUGUUCGGAAUUACUGGGCGUAAAGCGCACGUAGGCGGCUUGGUAAGUUAGAGGUGAAAGCCUGGAGCUCAACUCCAGAAUUGCCUUUAAGACUGCCGAGCUAGCAGGUGAGAGAGGUAAGUGGAAUUCCGAGUGUAGAGGUGAAAUACGUAGAUAUUCGGAAGAACACCAGUGGCGAAGGCGGCUUACUGGCUCAUACUGGACGCUGAGGUGCGAAAGCGUGGGGAGCAAACAGGAUUAGAUACCCGGGUAGUCCCUGUCUCUUAUAA